rnacentral:tRNA from 1 species
CAUUAAGAAGCUAACCGAGCAUUAACCUUUUAAGUUAAAGAUGAGGAUUCAAAUCUCCUCCUUAAUGA